GGAUGUGGGUGCAAUCUGGCUGCAACAUCUGUCACCCCAUUGAUGGCCAGGGUUGAUUUGGCUGAUGUGGCUGGCUAGGCAGGUGUCCCCUUCCUUCAUGUGCGUCCCUCCCGGUCGGUCAAAGAGGAUAACCUUCCCCGAAUACAGAUAGGUGGCGCAGUGGGUAAGGCACUAGACUCUCAAGCAUGAGGUCCUGAGUUCGAUCCCCGGCAGCACAUAUACCAGAGUGAUGGCUGGUUCUUUCUCUAUCUUUCUCAGGAAUAAAUAAAUUUUGAAAAAAGUUGAAGAGCAAGCUGCACACUGUCCUUUUUU
rnacentral:sRNA from 1 species